rnacentral:rRNA from 1 species
AGCCAUACAUACCAUCCCGACAAUGGCUGAUCUCAUCUGAACUCAGAAACUAAGCAGAGUCAAGGUCGGUUGGUACUUAGAUGGAAAUGCUAAAAAGACGAGCUUCUAAGAAGUGGUUAGAGGCCAUGAUAUGGCUC